GACGAACGCUGGCGGCGCGCUUAACACAUGCAAGUCGAACGGAAAGGCCUGCUUUCCCUUGUGGAUUGCGGGUACUCGAGUGGCGAACGGGUGAGUAACACGUGAGUGAUCUGCCCCCAACUUGGGUAUAAGCCUGGGAAACUGGGUCUAAUUCCCGAUAGGACUGCAGGGUGGUGCCGGUGUUGGAAAACGAUUUUCUAGUGGUUGGGGUUGAGCUCGCGGCCUAUCAGCUUGUUGGUGGGGUAAUGGCCUACCAAGGCGGCGACGGGUAGCCGGCCUGAGAGGGUGGACGGCCACAUUGGAACUGAGAUACGGGACAGAGUCCUACGGGAGGCAGCAGUGGGGAAUAGUGGACAAUGGGCGGACGCCUGAUGCAGCGACGCCGCGUGGGGGAUGACGGCCUUCGGGUUGUAAACUCCUUUUGAACGCGAGGAAGCCAACUGGUUGGAAGGGUGGUGACGGUAGUGGUAGAAGAAGCACCGGCUAACUACGUG
rnacentral:rRNA from 1 species